GACGAACGCUGGCGGCGUGCUUAACACAUGCAAGUCGAACGGAAAGGCCCUGCUUUUGUGGGGUGCUCGAGUUGCGAACGGGUGAGUAACACGUGAGUAACCUGCCCUUGACUUUGGGAUAACUUCAUGAAACUGGGGCUAAUACCGGAUAGGAGCUCCUGCUGCAUGGUGGGGGUUGGAAAGUUUCGGCGGUUGGGGAUGGACUCGCGGCUUAUCAGCUUGUUGGUGGGGUAGUGUCUUACCAAGGCUUUGACGGGUAGCCGGCCUGAGAGGGUGACCGGCCAAAUUGGGACUGAGAUACGGCACAGACUCCUACGGGAGGCAGCAGUGGGGAAUAUUGCACAAUGGGCGGAAGCCUGAUGCAGCAACGCAGCGUGCGGGAUGACGGCCUUCGGGUUGUAAACCGCUUUCGCCUGUGACGAAGCGUGAGUGACGGUAAUGGGUAAAGAAGCACCGGCUAACUACGUG
rnacentral:rRNA from 1 species